rnacentral:rRNA from 1 species
GACGAACGCUGGCGGCGUGCCUAAUACAUGCAAGUAGAACGCACAGUUUAUACCGUAGCUUGCUACACCAUAGACUGUGAGUUGCGAACGGGUGAGUAACGCGUAGGUAACCUGCCUGGUAGCGGGGGAUAACUAUUGGAAACGAUAGCUAAUACCGCAUAAUAUUAAUUAUUGCAUGAUAAUUAAUUGAAAGGUGCAAUUGCACCACUACCAGAUGGACCUGCGUUGUAUUAGCUAGUAGGUGAGGUAACGGCUCACCUAGGCGACGAUACAUAGCCGACCUGAGAGGGUGAUCGGCCACACUGGGACUGAGACACGGCCCAGACUCCUACGGGAGGCAGCAGUAGGGAAUCUUCGGCAAUAGACGAAAGUCUGACCGAGCAACGCCGCGUGAGUGAAGAAGGUUUUCGGAUCGUAAAGCUCUGUUGUAAGAGAAGAACGGGUGUGAGAGUGGAAAGUUCACACUGUGACGGUAUCUUACCAGAAAGGGACGGCUAACUACGUA